rnacentral:rRNA from 1 species
AGUGGCGGACGGGUGAGUAAUGCUUGGGAAUCUGGCUUAUGGAGGGGGAUAACUACGGGAAACUGUAGCUAAUACCGCGUAGUAUCGGAAGAUGAAAGUGUGGGACCGCAAGGCCACAUGCCAUAAGAUGAGCCCAAGUGGGAUUAGGUAGUUGGUUAGGUAAAGGCUGACCAAGCCGACGAUCUCUAGCUGGUCUGAGAGGAUGACCAGCCACACUGGAACUGAGACACGGUCCAGACUCCUACGGGAGGCAGCAGUGGGGAAUAUUGCACAAUGGGGGGAACCCUGAUGCAGCCAUGCCGCGUGAAUGAAGAAGGCCUUCGGGUUGUAAAGUUCUUUCGGUGAUGAGGAAGGUGUUUGUUUUAAUAGGACAAGCAAUUGACGUUAGUCACAGAAGAAGCACCGGCUAACUCCGUGCCAGCAGCCGCGGUAAUACGGAGGGUGCGAGCGUUAAUCGGAAUAACUGGGCGUAAAGGGCACGCAGGCGGUGACUUAAGUGAGAUGUGAAAGCCCCGAGCUUAACUUGGGAAUUGCAUUUCAUACUGGGUCGCUAGAGUACUUUAGGGAGGGGUAGAAUUCCACGUGUAGCGGUGAAAUUGCGUAGAGAUGUGGAGGAAUAC